GAUCAGGAAGGGUUAAACAUCAAUCUCACCAGCCUGCAACAUAACCAGAUAAAUAGAACUCUGCCUGCCCUUGUCUGUGCCAAACCUUGAAUCUCUCUCUCUCUCUUUCGUCAGUAAACAAGGGAUGAUUCAGGAGAAAGGCUUGAGGGCAAAGGCACCUAGAGCCAAGCCGGGGAACAGUAGCCGCAUUCUGUUCGGGGCGUCAAUGGGACAGGGAGCCUGAACUGCAGGGACGAGAAGGGCCGGGACUGCAUUGAGCAAGACCUCCAAACACAAGGUGCUUCUGUCUCGCGUUGGCGGGGAUGCCAGGCCGCUCGCAGGCAAAAAUAAAAUCGAUGGAGUUUCCAGCUAGGAGGAGAAGCGCCAGAGAGCACAUGAGCACCUGUCCUUGUGAGAUCCCCAGCCUGAUCGUUCACACCGACAGAGAGCAGCAGGAUCUGAACUUUCAGCUGAUUCUCCAAACCAGGAAACCUUUAGAUGCUCUCCCAUUGCCACAAUGAAGGCCUGUGUUGAGGGGAAGGAUGGUCUUGUGGUGAAAGCGUUGGGCUGGAUUCAAUACCCAUUUCUGCCGCAGGCUCCCUGUGUCAUCUUAGACCGGUCAUUUAAAGGAGGGAAUUCUCAGCACUUCAGAUAAGCAGGCCCUUAACUCCCGCCCCAUCUGUAUAGGGACUAGGGAUAACACCACUUCCUUUCUGCCUUGUCUAGUUAGACUGUCAGCUCUUUGGAACAAGGGCUAUCUAGUACUGUGUCUGUCCAGCACCUAUUACAUACAAUAGGGCCCCUGUCUCAGCGGGGGUCUCUCAGUGCUAGCAUAAUA